UAUCCUCUUUCGGAUUUUGAGUACGGAAAUGUUUGUCGCACACACUGACCAUGCGCAAGGGAGUUCAUUUUCCAUCCACUCGUGUCCUCAGGCCACGCCCCCGUACUACACCGUGGCCAAUGCAUUUAACCCCGAGAGAUUGUUCUUGUGUGGAGACUUUCUUUGGUAUCAUUUCCAACAUGACAUCAAUGAAGAAGGGUGUUGCUCUCAUUCUGGCCAAAAAAUCUACCAAAUCAACAUGGUUACGGGAAUGGUGCAGAAGCCUCUGCAAGAAGGAACGGCGUCGCAGGAGGGCCGUGAGGACCGAAAUCUACAAGCUUAAAUCUGAUUGCAAAAUCCUCAAGAGAAAGAUGUGGCAGAUUAUUGAGGCGGUUAAGAAACUCAAGUCCCGGAUUAAUCAGAUGAUAACCAUGGUGUGAUGGUUUUGCCAUGCCAGUUGUGGGCUCACCUGGUUCCUCCACUCGCCUUGCUUGAUUCUUCAUCAUUCCUCCUCUUCCUCAUCCUCUCAGGGAAGUUCAGAGGACAGUUCUUCAGAGGAGGAAGCAGGGCUCGAAGUGGAUUUGUCCAAGGAGUCCUGACUUUUUUUUUCUCUUGAGUCUAAAAAUGUUUAUGUUGGUUUUACAUGAUUACUAUAUAAUACUGUCAAAGUAGGAAGUUCAUAACGUUCUAAAUAAUAGCAGCACAAGUUCAAAUCAUUGGUGCAGGGCGUUCAGUUGAGGGAAAAUUUGGGGCUGGAAGUGGGCCCUCCAGGAUUUGAUUUAUUUUAUUUAAGUUUUGAUAUUUUGUUUUAGUUAGUUUAAAAUACAUUAAUAAAUAAUUGGGAAUAAAAGCAUCAAGGUUUAAAUAAUAAAGCUACAAACCAUUAA